UACAGAGGGUGCGAGCGUUGUCCGGAUUUAUUGGGCGUAAAGAGCGUGUAGGCGGUUUGGUAGGUCCGUUGUGAAAACUCGAGGCUCAACCUCGAGACGCCGAUGGAAACCAUCAGACUAGAGUCCGGAAGAGGAGAGUGGAAUUCCUGGUGUAGCGGUGAAAUGCGCAGAUAUCAGGAAGAACACCCGUGGCUAAGGCGGCUCUCUAGUACGGUACUGACGCUGAGACGCGAAAGCGUGGGGAGCGAACAGG
rnacentral:rRNA from 1 species